AUUAUUGUCCUUUGUGUUCAUUUAAGCGCCAAACCAAAUUUUCCCCCAAUAUUUCAUCUCAUUACCGCCCAAAAUUUUAUUUUCUCUUACUACCUUUAACAAAAUUUUCUAUUCCAGGAUUCUAUCUGCUCAAAAACAUUGAAGAAGGUACUCUCUCUCUCUCUCUCAGACCCAAAGAGGCAUAUAGUUUAGGGUUUUGAUUUCUCACUCUCUUAGACUAAGGAUUUCUAAUUGUUGUUACCCCAUUUGUUUGUUGAGGUGGAAGGCAACAAAAACACUCAAACUGUGCCUGGAUUAGUGGAAACCCAAGACAAGGAUACGUGGGUAACUCUUGCGCACCUCAAAGGUUUGAUUUUUUCCCUUCUAGCUUACUUUAUUUCAUCAAUUUUAUGUUCUAUUGCUUGGAUUUGAG
rnacentral:lncRNA from 1 species